rnacentral:rRNA from 1 species
UACGGGGGGGGUAAGCGUUGUUCGGAAUUACUUGGGCGUAAAGGGCUCGUAGGCGGCCAACUAAGUCAUACGUGAAAUCCCUCAGCUUAACUGGGGAACUGCGUGUGAUACUGGAUGGCUUGGAUUUGGGAGAGGGAUGCGGAAUUCCAGGUGUAGCGGUGAAAUGCGUAGAUAUCUGGAGGAACACCGGUGGCGAAGGCGGCAUCCUGGACCGACACUGACACUGAGGAGCGAAAGCCAGGGGAGACGAAACGGGG